CCCAAAGGAUGUAAAGUAUGGACUAAUUUAGUAAUCUGAAAAAAUUCAAUAUUCAAUGCUGGUCUUGCAUACAUGCACUGAUGAGAGAUGACUAUCAUAUGCAAACAUUGUCCCGUCACAAAAACAUGUUUGGGACAAUAUUUAGUCAAACCUUUAAAAGUGCAAACAUCAAUAAAUUCUAAAUUAUCUUGUUUCAAAACCGUGCAAGUUUAUGAUGUAGAAUUGUAUUGCAAAUACUUGCUAAUUAAAUCUCAUUAAGUUCAAGAAUUUUGAGAAUAUAUUCUAGAAAAUUUC
rnacentral:lncRNA from 7 species